rnacentral:rRNA from 1 species
GACGAACGCUGGCGGCGUGCCUAAUACAUGCGAGUAGAACGCUGAAGGAGGAGCUUGCUUCUCCGGAUGAGUUGCGAACGGGUGAGUAACGCGUAGGUAACCUGCCUGGUAGCGGGGGAUAACUAUUGGAAACGAUAGCUAAUACCGCAUAACAGUAGAUAUUGCAUGAUAUCUGCUUGAAAGGUGCAAUUGCAUCACUACCAGAUGGACCUGCGUUGUAUUAGCUAGUUGGUGAGGUAACGGCUCACCAAGGCGACGAUACAUAGCCGACCUGAGAGGGGGAACGGCCCACCUGGGACCGGGAACACGCCCAGACUCCUACGGGGGGCAGCAGUAGGGAAUCUUCGGGAAUGGACGGAAGUCUGGACGAGCAACGCCGGGUGAGUGAAGAAGGUUUUCGGAUCGUAAAGCUCUGUUGUAAGAGAAGAACGAGUGUGGGAGUGGAAAGUUCACACUGUGACGGUAUCUUACCAGAAAGGGACGGCUAACUUCGUG